UACAGAGGGUGCGAGCGUUAAUCGGAAUUACUGGGCGUAAAGCGUGCGUAGACGGUUAUUUAAGUCGGGUGUGAAAUCCCCGGGCUCAACCUGGGCACUGCAGUUGGAACUGGCAAGCUAGAGUAGGGUAGAGGGGUGUGGAAUUCCAGGUGUAGCGGUGAAAUGCGUAGAUAUCUGGAGGAACAUCAGUGGCGAAGGCGACACCCUGGACUCAUACUGACACUGAGGUGCGAAAGCGUGGGGAGCAAACAGG
rnacentral:rRNA from 1 species